rnacentral:tRNA from 2 species
GGGCGGUUAGCUCAGUUGGUUAGAGUACUUGCUUGACAUGCAAGGGGUCACUGGUUCAAAUCCAGUACCGCCCA